UAUGUGAUCGUCUCUCGCAUAUCAAUAAGCGGAGGAAAAGAAACUAACAAGGAUUCCCCUAGUAACGGCGAGUGAAGCGGGUAGAGCUCAAAUUUGAAAUCUUAAAGGGUUUCCCUUUACGAAUUGUAGUUUAAAGAAGUGUUUUCUGUUGAGGUUUUGGUAAAAGUUCUUUGGAAUAGGACAUCAUAGAGGGUGAGAAUCCCGUAUUUGACCCUUUACUUUCAACUUUGUGAUACACUUUCAAAGAGUCGGAUUGUUUGGGAAUGCAGUCCAAAAUGGGUGGUAAAUUUCAUCUAAAGCUAAAUAUUGGCGAGAGACCGAUAGCGAACGAAGUACCGUGAGGGAAAGAUGAAAAGAACUUUGAAAAGAGAGUUAAACAGUACGUGAAAUUGUCAAAAGGGAAGCGUUUGACACCAGUGUUGUUUUUCUGAAAAUCAAUUAAAGAACUGUUUAUGCUAAGUUGUUUAGACUUUAUCAGCUAUCUGCUUAGUUUUGAGCUUUUCUUUAAUGCACUUUUCAGUUAACAAGUCAACAUCAAUUUCUUUUGCUGUAAAAAAGCUUGAGGAAGGGUGGCUUGAGAUUCGUCUUAAGUGUUUAUAGCCUCUUGCCUAUGCAGUCGGAGAGAUUGAGGUCUGCAGCGUAGAUCCUUCGGGGCUAAAUGCAUUUGUGCUAAGUUAUAGCAUUUUAUAGACAACUUGUUGACUAUGAUUUGUCUUGUAGCUUACUCGCUUAUGUUAUUUUACCUACGCUUAGGAUGUUGACGAGACUGUCGAUCUC
rnacentral:rRNA from 1 species